CUCCAACAUUGUGCGCAUGCGCGAAAUAUCCCGGAUGUAAAUAGUCUCAUGUUCUUGGUUCCGUUGAAAGCUGUUGGCAGCACGAACGACCGUUAAAAAGUGCUAACCAGAAACAACCAAUCAGAGCCAGGUGGCGGGUCUUGUCGCUGCCAAUCACAAUCUCUCGUGGCGCUCCUCCUCCUCCUCCCAAACCGCCGGCUCUCACCUCUUUGCUCUUCGCUUCGCUGCGGUUGUAGAGCCUGUUGUGAAUGCUAAAGCUAGUUAGCAUAACCACCGAUAACGCGGACUAAUGGUUUUCCUGUAACGUGGUUCAAUGGACUCCUUGAAGGUGCAGUGCUUGAGUUUUCCAGAAGAUAGCAGCAGUCAGCUGUGUGCAGCGAUCUCACCUCCAUCAAGCGCCACUGCGGCAGCCCUCCCCUCUCUGAUGCCUCUGAAUAGAAGCUGAGAAUAGAAGCAAGGCUGUUUCCAGUCAGAGCAGGAAUGCCUAUAUAUGGAGCUCCACGCCACGCAGGCUCUUCAGAUGUCCCUGCAGCGUCCCAGUUUUCUGCGUUUCCAUUCUCACGGUUGUCAUAAGAGCCCCAGAAACAUGAGAAAAUGAUUGUGGUGGCAGAAGAAGAGUGACAGGUUGUGGGGACAAGUGUGCUGUCUCCCUGACAGCAAGUGGACACAAAUGGAUUCAAUUAGACGGCCGUCUUUGUGCCAGA